CAUUCCGGGGCAGAGCCAGUGCUUGCCGCACCGAGAAUGACCAGUUCCUGCGUGCUGACGGGGAGGGGGAGUCAGAGCCGCCAGCCGGGGUUCACCCUGGGGAGGGGGGAGUCAGAGCCGCCAGCCGGGGUUCACCCUGGGGAGGGGGGUGUCAGAGCCGCCAGCCGGGGUUCACCCUGGGGAGGGGGGAGAGGAGUGUCAGAGCCGCCAGCCGGGGUUCACCCCUGGGGAGGGGGGAGUCAGAGCCGCCAGCCGGGGUUCACCCUGGGGAGGGGGGAGUCAGAGCCGCCAGCCGGGGUUCACCCUGGGGAGGGGGGAGAGGAGUGUCAGAGCCGCCAGCCGGGGUUCACCCCUGGGGAGGGGGGAGUCAGAGCCGCCAGCCGGGGUUCACCCCUGGGGAGGGUGUCAGAGCCGCCAGCCGGGGUUCACCCUGGGGAGGGGGGAGUCAGAGCCGCCAGCCGGGGUUCACCCUGGGGAGGGGGGAGAGGAGUGUCAGAGCCGCCAGCCGGGGUUCACCCCUGGAGAGGGGGAGUCAGAGCCGCCAGCCGGGGUUCACCCUGGGGAGGGGGAGGAGUGUCAGAGCCGCCAGCCGGGGUUCACCCCUGGAGAGGGGGAGGAGUGUCAGAGCUGCCAGCCGGGGGUUCACCCUGGGGGGGGGGUGUCAGAGCCGCCAGCGGGGGUUCACCCUGGGGAGGGGGGAGAGGAGUGUCAGAGCCGCCAGCCGGGGUUCACCCUGGGGAGGGGGGUGAGGAGUGUCAGAGCCGCCAGCCCCACCCCACCCCCACCCCCGUGAUGGAACAGUGCGGCUGACCUAACCUGCUGAGCCUUUCAAAGCGCUGAAAUCCUGCCGGGCUAACAGGGGAAAUAAAACAGUGUGACUCCCAACCACGAAAGCCAUUUCCAGCUGGAGACCUGAAACAGCCCUCACUGGCCAGUAGAUGGCGCCAAAGGUCAGUCCCUUUCCGCCUUGGGAUUCCCAGCACCUGGUGCAGUUCCAACACUGGCCAGCCCUUCACCCUGCACACAGGAGGCCACAAUCCCCACCCUGUGCUGCCAGAGGAGGAGGCGGAUUUGUAGGAUAAAGGCAAGAGAGAGACGGAAACUAAUUUCAUCCCAGCUGCGGAGGAAGCAUCUAGAGCUGGUUUCCAAGUGGGGAUCAGCAGACGAGUGUUCCUGGAGGAGAGAAAGGCAUUGCAAGAGAAGAGACGGUGGGGCCUGCCGGGUGGCACUGGGGCUGAGCUGCUGCGUGUGAUCCGGGGAAUCCCAUCUCCAGCUUCUCGCUAAUGUGCCCUGGAAGGCAGCCAACAUGCGGGACCUGGCCCAGCCCUGCUUGUUGUGGGCAUUUGAGGGUGAACCAGCAGAUGGAAGAUACCUCUCUCUUUCUGUCACUCUUCCUUUCAAAUAAACAAAUCUUAAUGUA